UGGAAGUUGUUUUAUAAUGUCUUGCAUAGUGAAAUACUAAUAAAAAGCAAGUUUGUAUUGUUUUAACUCAUUUGACUAUGCUAUGCUCAACCCAGUUGUAUUUACAAACCUAUUUCAUAUACACAUGGGAAGAUGAUCGGGAGGUAAACUCCAUCACUUCUCAGCUUCCACAGUAAAUCCCAGAGAAUUCAUCCCCCUUGUAUAUGGCCGGUGGGAAAAUCUUGGCUUUCUACACAGGGCCCAAAUUUCUUCUCCCUCUUGGUUCCAGUGGAACUCUCAUCAACUUAGCAGGAUUUCUCAUUCAAUAGUUCAAGGUGAUUGCUUUAACCCAAAAUUGUCAAAGAUGAUGCAUAAUAAAGUCCCCUGUUGCUCUAAAAAAAGUUUUGUUUAGUUAAUGAGUCCAAAGGCAAGCUUCCUGUGUGACUCCAGGGACUGCCUGGCAUUGAGUCAGCUCCCUGACUCAACCUGCCAACCCAUUGGCUCUCUAAACCCAGUCGCCUUCCUCUGAUUGGUUACACUGGAGUAUCCUGUCUUUGGAUAUGCUAGCAGCAAAUAUUUGUCAUACAGGAUAUCAAAUGGAAAAAGCAUUGUGUGAUCAGGAAAGAUGAAGGAACUGCACCAAAAUUUCGGUGUUUCAAGAUGAUUCUCAAGCAGAAAUUAGAAAAGUGUUCUGAAGAUUUGUCUACAGGGGCUUUUGGAGCCUGGCUUGCACAGCUGGAAAAUGGCAGACCUGGGAUAGGACUCCACACAUGUGACUUCAAGGAGCUCUGUUACACCUCUGCUGCUUCUCCGUGCCCUUUGGCAUAGAGCCUGCAUUUCCUCAGGGUCUGGAGAUGUUGGGGGAGCUGAGAUUACCACCUGAGCCGACUACCCACAUUUCGAGAGCUCAGAUGCCACAUUUGGCUAGUGGGCUCCAGCAAAUCGGACAAUGCAUCUUCAAGGCCUACUUCAGAUAGCAACAUUUUAGUGAAGUCAACCUGACCAUUCUUCAGUCAGAGUUAGUGACUCCUCCUCGAAACUCUCUCAAGCCCUUUAUCCCAGCUAUCUUGAAACCCAGAGGGUAAGCUCCUCGAGGAAUUCCAAACUGUUGACUCAAGAAAUCGCUCUCAGCGAUGCCCUGGCCUAUAACAGGCGGUUAUUAAGUUCCAGGUAAUUAAUGAACCCAUGUGCAAAGAACCCCAUGGGAGGUCAUGGCCGGGACGGAAAUGGUCAGUCAGGGAAGAGUGCGGGCGAGCGAAGACCACAGGCGUGGAUCCAGGCGUCCGCCGCCCUCAGUGUACCUCAGCCCUCGGCUUCGUCGGGGCCGCUGAAGCCAAGGUCCCGGGUCCGCUUGCUCCGGGACGCCGGAGCUGCGGCCCCGCCCUCUUCCCUGUCU